rnacentral:rRNA from 1 species
AUUGAACGCUGGCGGCAGGCCUAACACAUGCAAGUCGAGCGGAGCGGCGGACGGGUGUGUAAUGUCUGGGAAACUGCCUGAUGUAGGGGGAUAACGUCCCGAAACGGGCUCUAAUAUCGCAUACUAUCAGAUGAGCCUAGGUUGGAUUAGCUAGUUGGUGGGGUAAAGGCCUACCAAGGCGACGAUCCGUAACUGGUCUGGGAGGAUGAUCAGUCAAAAUGGAACUGGGACACGGUCCAGACUCCUACGGGAGGCAGCAGUGGGGAAUAUUGGACAAUGGGCGAAAGCCUGAUCCAGCCAUGCCGCGUGUGUGAAGAAGGUCUUCGGAUUGUAAAGCACUUUAAGUUGGGAGGCGUUACCAACAGAAUAAGCACCGGCUAACUUCGUGCCAGCAGCCGCGGUAAUAC